UACGUAGGGGGCUAGCGUUGUCCGGAAUCAUUGGGCGUAAAGCGCGUGUAGGCGGUCCGGUAAGUCCGCUGUGAAAGUCGGGGGCUCAACCCUCGAAUGCCGGUGGAUACUGUCGGGCUAGAGUACGGAAGAGGCGAGUGGAAUUCCUGGUGUAGCGGUGAAAUGCGCAGAUAUCAGGAGGAACACCAAUGGCGAAGGCAGCUCGCUGGGACGGUACUGACGCUGAGACGCGAAAGCGUGGGGAGCAAACAGG
rnacentral:rRNA from 1 species